AUAAAAAAUAAAAAAUAAUAAAAGAGACAAUUUUCCUUCUUAAAUAUGUUUCAACCACCCUCUGUUUUUAUAUCCAUUUUUUCAUCCCUCCAUAAGUUACAUAAACCAUUUUCAACUCUCUUUUUAAUCUCAAACUCAUUGUGAUGCAGUCAUGUGCCACUCGCGUGACAGUAAUGUUAACAAAAAUAUCAAAAUGCCCAUUUCUAUCUGUAUUUUCUCUUCUCACCAUCUGUUCUCUCUCUCUUGUUCUCUGUUACUGUAUUUCGUGAAGGGACGAUGGAGGUGGAUUGGAAAGAGCUAGGGCUUGGUGACAACCAUACUGCGAUUCAUUUCUUUGUAUAACCAAAUGUAAAUGUACCUGACGGAGCACAUCAUUGCAGUCAACAUGAGUAACAAAGUGACAUUCAGCACAAUAAUAGACAGGGACAACUAGCUUUCUUCUUUUCUCGCGUCCUCAUCUUCUUCUGUAAAGUCUUUGACUGGAGACUUGUGAGGGUGAGGGGAUGUCUGUGACAGUCAUAUUUUAUGGUAAUGAUGGGAGACAAUGGAUAUGGAUAUUGUAGUUGCAGUCUACACAACGGAAUGCAGUGGAGAAAAGGUACUUCCUAUUUCGAGUAGAGUUUGAAUGAUUGCUUUGCCUUGAAUAAAGCAAGAGGGUGAGGGUGAAUAACAAACCUUACGGUGGGCUUUAGUGAAGCACAUUUAGCAUGCAUACAGAAAUUACAUGUACCCUGUCCUCUGCCGUGGUUAUAAAACAAUUUUGAACAUACGUAGGAGCAGCCAUAAUUAAUUGACUCAAAACAUACUUUGCAGUCAAAAUAACUCGUAUCAGCAGUAGGUUGUGGAUGUGGAAGGAGGGUGACAUCACAGGUGCUGGUGGGUGGAAGGGAUGUUGGAUCUCUAAUGGCAAAUUACAGCAGGAUCUGUGAAGUAGAAGUUUGCAUUGAAGGCAAACAUAGAUGAUCAUGGAAUCCGCAAAAGGAAGCAAGCAAACAGAGCAGCAUGGGCUAAAAUUCUUAUUCAUAUCACACAGAGAUAAGGGAUGAUUUUUGCCUAGAUGAAGUAGUUGAUCCUCACAAUGGUGCUCACCAUGACCACCACCACCUUCAUGGUAUUUGGUAGGUAUCAGCGAAGCGCAUGUAACAUCCAGUUUAAAUCAACACUCAAAACAGGUGAAGUAGAAGUGCGUCCAAUGGUACCCACAGGCAUUGCACUGUCUAGCUCUAUGCUUUCUAUAAUAAAUGUUGCGAUGAGAUGCCUUUGCCACGAGAAAGAGAGGAUGUUAUGGGUGGUAAGGGUGUGUGAUCUCAGGAGGAGACUUGGCGCAUGAUUUGUGCAGGAAAAGAUUGCAUUUGACGCAAACAUAGAUCAUGGAAUCCUCCAUGGUUAGGCUGCAACCAGAACAGUUACGAUCAAAAUUCUUAACCAUUUCACAUAGUACCAAGGGAUGUGUUUGGCUGAUCAGCUGAUGCUCAUUAUCAAUACAGAGGUGUUCACGCGUAC